UACGAAGGGGACUAGCGUUGUUCGGAAUUACUGGGCGUAAAGCGCACGUAGGCGGAUUUGUUAGUCAGGGGUGAAAUCCCGGGGCUCAACCUCGGAACUGCCUUUGAUACUGAGAGUCUCGAGACCGGUAGAGGUAAGUGGAACUGCGAGUGUAGAGGUGAAAUUCGUAGAUAUUCGCAAGAACACCAGUGGCGAAGGCGGCUUACUGGACCGGUUCUGACGCUGAGGCGCGAAAGCGUGGGGAGCAAACCGG
rnacentral:rRNA from 1 species